rnacentral:rRNA from 1 species
AUUAGAACGCAGCUAGCUGCGAUAUGUUAUGCGACUUGCGAAGACAUUGAGCAUAAAGAUUUCGAACGCACAUUGCGCCAUUGGGUUUCUUCCCUUUGGCACGCCUGGUUGAGGGUCGACUUUGUUGAAAUAUGUGAUGGUGACACGACGCGAAGCAGCGACGGCUCUCAUCUCGAGGCGAUGAGGCCUUCGUUUGUAGAGUGUUGUGUCGUCAUUCAUCGAGCGGCAAGUGAUGUUGACGUCUUAAAUGACUGCAUCGCUUGCUUAGUGGACGAGUCGUACGCGAGAGGAGAUGUCUAGCAUCAUCUCUUAUCGAGGUGCGUACGCGUGUGGCGCAUCGUCGGGAAAUGGUAGCGAUGGUGACGAUGAUGUUGAUGCUCGAAUUUUGUGGCAAACGUUGAGGAACGUACGGGGAAUAUCAUGCUACAAAUCGAGUUGAUCACGCGGUGAUGUCGUCGUUAUUGUUGCUUAUCAUUGAGCACGUUUAUCGCCUUGACGAGGACGGCGAUCAACGACUCUCUCGAUCGAACACACCCGAUCAUGUGUCGACGAACAGCUUCGCCGAUACAGUGACGGUAAGCGCCUCAUUAUCGUAGACCUCAACUCAGACGUGAUUACCCCCUGAAUUUAA